rnacentral:rRNA from 1 species
AGCGAAAGCGAGUCUUAACUGGGCGCUCAGUCUCUGGAUAUAGACCCGAAACCGGGUGAUCUAGCCAUGGGCAGGUUGAAGGUUGAGUAACAUCAACUGGAGGACCGAACCGACUAAUGUUGAAAAAUUAGCGGAUGACUUGUGGCUAGGGGUGAAAGGCCAAUCAAACUCGGAGAUAGCUGGUUCUCCCCGAAAGCUAUUUAGGUAGCGCCUCGGACGAAUACUACUGGGGGUAGAGCACUGUUAAGGCUAGGGGGUCAUCCCGACUUACCAACCCUUUGCAAACUCCGAAUACCAGUAAGUACUAUCCGGGAGACACACGGCGGGUGCUAACGUCCGUCGUGGAGAGGGAAACAACCCAGACCGCCAGCUAAGGUCCCAAAGUAUUGCUAAGUGGGAAACGAUGUGGGAAGGCUCAGACAGCUAGGAUGUUGGCUUAGAAGCAGCCAUCAUUUAAAGAAAGCGUAAUAGCUCACUAGUCGAGUCGGCCUGCGCGGAAGAUGUAACGGGGCUAAGCA